rnacentral:RNase_P_RNA from 1 species
GGAGCAGGCCGGGCGGUCGCGGCGCACUGCGCCGAGGAAAGUCCGGGCUCCGCAGGGCAGGGUGCCGGGUAAUCCCCGGCGGGGGCGACCCCAGGGACCAGUGCCACAGAAACAUACCGCCGGUCGGCUUCAUCCGGCCGGCAAGGGUGCAACGGCGGGGUAAGAGCCCGCCGGCGGUCCGGCGACGGACCGGCCAGGCAAACCCCACCAGGAGCAAGGCCAGAUAGGGGGAGAUGAGGUGGCCCGCCGAUCCCCGGGUAGGCCGCUUGAGGUCCCGGGCAACCGGUGACCCCAGAGAGAUGAUCGCCGACCGGGCGCCCGAGAGCGUCCGGCGCACAGAACCCGGCUUACAGGCCUGCUCCCGGC